rnacentral:misc_RNA from 1 species
GAAAUGCGAUAAGUAAUGUGAAUUGCAGAAUUCAGUGAAUCAUCGAAUCUUUGAACGCACAUUGCGCCCGCCAGUAUUCUGGCGGGCAUGCCUGUUCGAGCGUCAUUUCAACCAUCAAGCCCCGCGCUUGUGUUGGGGACCUGCGGCUGCCGCAGGCCCUGAAAACCAGUGGCGGGCUCGCUGUCACACCGGGCGUAGUAGAUUUUAUCUCACUCAGGGCGUGCUGCGGGUUCCGGCCGUUAAAAAGCCUUUUUUACCCAAGGUUGACCUCGGAUCAGGUAGGAAGACCCGCUGAACUUAAGC